GUGUGCGUCUAGGUGGAGCAGAGACUCCCGACGCACCCAGCGCUGUUUGCUUACCUCUAUUCUUUUAAUAAAUUGUAAACUUUGAUUAUAGUCCUAUUUUAGGACUAAGCGAUUUAUAACAUUAUGGACAGCCAAGAGAGGAGCUAAACAAAUGGUGACUGUGACUGUUGUGACUGAGAAUCACUGGCUUGUUUUCAUUUGUGUUUUGUCCCCAAAAAAGUUCUGUAAGCUGUUAAGUUUUCUGCAUUUUUCUGCAUGGCACAAAUUCUUCAGAGAGGUAAGCCAAGAAAACUGUAGGCCUACUUUUAGGGCAUUUGGUUAGCCCUUGUGACACUAAAUGACCCUAGGUUGUUAGGUCCAUGAAUACCUAAAUAUGCAAAAAACCUUAGCAAGCUUUAUUUCAAUAUAUUCACCUAUAAAAUGAAAGCAUUCUUACUACAAAGGUUCAGAAUAAUUAGAAAGCAUAACAGACAAGACACAUCAGAAGCCAGAGACGGGAAGGGUUUUCCUACAGUGGGUCCAGCUAGAACUUGACAAUGAAAUAGACAAAUAAAACUAGCAAUUUGCCUUAUUUAUGUUGUAUUAGUGCUUGAUAAUAUACAGGAAUAAAAAAGCAACUUGAAAUUCUUACUUGCAAAUGAACUCCAAACUUGUGUCUGGGACUUACGCAGAUAUUUGCAAUAUAAAUAUUCAAGUUUUCCUGAAUGAAGUGGGAGUGUAAAUGUGCAUGGACAUGUGAGAAGAAACUGUAGAACAAGGACUAAAAUAAAAGCACGUAUUGUUACCCACAGUCAGCAGUUCACUUUUAUUCCAGUGCAGCCUAUGUAUGGUUUCAUUUAAUAACCAGAUAGCAAGAAAAUGAAGCCAUAAGAUAAGGUGAGGCAGGACAAAUGAACUGGCCUGGAGCCAGAGGAUAACUAGAUAAGGAAAACAAAAGGACAGUGUUGACUCAGCAAAGUUGCCUAAGACUCUUGUGGGGUAAAACAAGAUGCCAAGACAAAAGAUCACAGUAACGUAAUUCCAGAAGGCUAUAAAAAGCCUAUCCAAAGUCAGUUCUCAGUAGCGAAGAGGGACAUGCAGGGAGGAUUCACUACCUGGAACAUCUUGUCCUACACGUCAUGAAGAAACUGCCCUGGCCAAACUACUUGGGCACAUGUGUCCAGCUCCUUCUCUGUGUGAAAAUCUCCUCCUGGUUGUGCCUACGCAGUGUAGCCUGGUGGUUGCUGGCUGGGGUCUUUCACGAUGAAGGCAACAAGGAAGAGGAGGUUAAACUUUUUACCUUCCUGGACUUUGACCUUCUGUUGGACAGUUCUUAAGGUUAUGAUGCUACACCCUUAGCAAAACACGAAUAUCCAACCACUGCAAAAGAAUAGCCUAUGUGGAAGAACGUAGAAAGUUUUGAAGCAUGAAUGCAUAAUUUCAGGCCAAGAAAAAUUUGGUUCAGUAAUAGAACUUCAACACUGAGUAGAAGAUGGUACAUUACAUGUGCCGCAACAUGCUUGAGGACAAAAUUCUGGGAAUGCUGCCAAGCCCGUAAUCCCAGCACACAGAUCUGCAAGUGAUCAAGGCUGGUUGGUUUGAAGGUCAGAUUAUUGUGUUCAGGGAAUGUAGUUUUGGAUAUGUCCUUGAGCCAGAAGAUGGUGAAAGUCAGGAGAUGGAAAACUUAUUUCAAAUAGGGAUCCAUGUUAAGAGAUUGAUAAAUAGAUGGGACAUUGUAUGAACUAUUUGUGGGUUAGACGUGUAAAAACUCAUCAGAGGAACAGAAUUAGGAAGCUGAAUGGUGGAUAUGCCUCUUAAAGUAUUUGGCAGCCUAAGGCAUGUGACACAAUCAGUAACAGCAAAUAUCAGUGCCCAACAGAAACGAAGAUGAAGAAAACAUGAAAGAGAAAAGAAGACAGAGGAAUAUAUGAACAUAUGCCAUAAUAUGUUACAUGACAACUGGAAAUGUAUUCCACAUGUACGAUUUCACAAGUCACUGACUCAACUGGAGGCCUUUGCUUCAAGAUGAAGUGCCUAUAACUAUCCUCCAAGGUGUGAAGAUGGAGAAGAGGAUGCAAUUGAUGAAUAACCCUCAGUCAUCCUGAUUUCACGAAAGUGGUACAUGAAAACAGAACUGUUACAGAGUUAUUAGAGAAGAAUGUGCAUAGUAAUUUGGAAGGACAUAAAUGACCAAUUAUUCCUGAUCUUGGCAGUUUUAAGAAGCUCCAGCUCAUUGGCAUCUGGAAUUUAGCUCUUUCCAGACUUUCUUUAUAGAAUAGAUAUGCUCUUCAUUAUGCCCUUAAGUUUACUAGAAACUUCUUAAGAAGGAGAUAUUUUAGUCUGGUUAUCAGGGAUGGAUCAGAAUGGUCAGAAAUACAACAGAAAAUUAGGUGGAAUUUUAUAAAUGAUGGUGUCUGUCCGAAUAUGUACCUGUGGAGGUGGGGGACGCAGCUUUGUGUAUGAAGUUGUUGACUGAAGAACACAAUUUUCAGGAUAAAGGAAAAGGUCCAUCUAUGACUAUAAAUAGAAUGGGUUCUCUGUCAAAUCAAAUCAGUGAAAUGCCAGAGUGAAAAAUGGAGACAUGCAUAACAGUUGAAAUGUGUGGACAGCAAAGGGCAUUCUGCCACUUUAAUAUACCAUAGAUAUCAGUAUUAUUCAUAGGAAGGGGGGGACUUGGAAGUUUGGCAAGGAGUCAAGGACAUGACAUGGCUGUGUGUUCCUGACCUAGCCCCAGUUCACGAAGUGAACAUCCUGCCCCUGCUGAUAAUCAUUAGGUCACUGUGACUCAAGCUUCUGAUUGCAACUUUGCAUUGUUUGAUGUGUAACCACAUGGGCAUGGUAAUAUAUUAUCUACUGUCAAAAAUGAAAGAGUAUAUAAGUUAAAGCAGGGAUGUCCCUGAGCUGAGUACCAGUUGGAAUCCUGUCCUGACAGUCAGCUUCCCUUGUCCCUCCAUGGAAGGGAACUUGCCAUACUCUUUGGAGUGUGAGUAUAUUACUAAUAAAGUAAUAGCUGUCUGA